AAUGCCAACAUCUAGUAUCUAUCCCAAAGACCAGGGAGAAAGGAAGGAAAGAUUCUGGUUCUGUCCUCUUCCCCAAGGCAAGGCUGGCUGCCCUACCAACAGAGGCAAAGAGAAGAGUGUGCAAGGCUGGCUGCCCUCCCAACAGAGGCAAAGAGGAGUGUGUGUUGAAAUAUCCAUUGAAUCCCUGAGACAACUGGAUCCUGGCCCAUUGAAUCAUAAACUCAGCAGAAUCUCACAUCAUAACCCCAAAUGACCUGUUACUCACCAUGUGGCCCAGCUGUCUUCAAACUCACCAGCCUCCUGCCUUAGCCUUCUAAAUGCUUGGAUUACAGGCAUGACCCACCAUAACUGGCUUUGUUUUAGUUUCAGAGAAGAUGAAACUGAUGUGCGUCAAAAAGUUAUGGAGGCUGGGAAGACCUAGAAUGUGGCAUCACUAUUUGGUUAUUUAGAAAAUUGUUACCUCAAAAAUGACCUAGGGGUCCUUAGAAUAAUAACACACAGAAGAAUAGCCUCAUUUUUCUGUUGGGCCCAGGAAACCAUGCCGAUUACCGACCGAGCUCUCAAUGGAAAAAUGCAGUCGGCGUGAACCACGCACGAACACAGCAGAGAAAGAAGAAAACACACACCACGAGGAACCCUAAUAGGACAAUACAUUAUAAGCCUCAUGGUACAUCCACUUGGUGUGCUGGGAGAGUCAGGAUGAGGACCUGAGAAGAACAGCAGCUUGAACCUGACUUCAUUUAACAGCCCACUGCCCUCUUGCCAAGAACCCAUCACAGACCUUCCCAGAAGAGAGGGAUGAGCCUCACCUAUGAAUAAGUCCUCAGAAACUCAAAUUUGAUUCUAAUGGAUUGUUUUCUCAGAAAGACUGAGCAUGUCCCCCCACAUCUCUGUCAUUUCCCACAGUAGUAACCUCUGCAGAUGCCACAUAGAAAACAAAACAAAACAAAAAAACAUGAGGUUGGUGGGCAGAUAGGCAGGGUAUAAACAAACAGCCUUGUAACCCAGAAGCUGUGUGAUAUACAGUAAACUUCACAACACUGAAAAGAUGUCCUAUCUGUUAAAAUGGGGUAAUAACAACUACCCGAAUGUUUAGGAAUAGAACUUCAAUAAAUGAUACAUUUUAUAGUACAGCA
rnacentral:lncRNA from 1 species